rnacentral:lncRNA from 1 species
CUUUAAAAGAAAUAUUAAAAAGCGGUAGAUAAACAGUUUAAAAUUGCACCAUAGGCUAAAACAUAUAUAAAAAUUGAAUAAUAGGCCAAUUGUAAUAGUUUAAGCGACUGUGCUAGAACCAUAGAAUCCGAGGGUGCCUAAUACUUCCCUCGGUUAACCGAAUUCCUUAUUUAGUUUUUCUGGUUCGCAGACUUCAAAACGAAAGUCGAAAUCUUCCUCGAUUUGGGAUUUAAAAAUAAAUGGGUGACUUGAGACAUCAAAUAAACUAUCCCAAGUGGCGACUCUGAAAAAAAUAAAUAAAUUAUUCCAUUUCGAAUAGUGUCACUUUAAUUGGAAAAAUUCCCUUAUAUGUUUAUCCGUCGGGGUAGCUGUGUAAACAAAUGAGGAGUCACAACUAUGAACCGCUCUUCUUCUCCGCCCGUUCCCUGUAGUUGGUUGCAAUACCUUUUGAGGCCGGGAAGGUUUUGAAACCCAAGGCUAGAUGUAUGUGUGGGAACAUGCACAGGUCGGUGUAGACACGCUCUUUUGCCCACUCAGCCCCUGUAUGUUUUUGAGACUUUGCUCCAUACUUUUAAUCUUUACGGUAAUCUCCUCUUGUUAAGGGGUUUUUGCGGCUUUCUCUUUCCCUGCAGUAAAGUCGUACCGAGGCAGCUGAGGAUAAAUACUAGUAGUGAACUAGGGUGGUUACAUGGUGUUUAAAAGGUGCAGGAAGAUGGAUCACAGCUAGGCCUGGGUACAUCAGGUUGUGUUGUAGCUGAACAAGGUAGCACGG